GUAAGCGAACGGGUACCAUGUACCACCUAUAUAGGGUCUUCCUAUAUUGCUCCAGUAGGACUUCUGACUUAGUUUUUUGGUCGUCACUAUAGCACGCUCCCAAUGGUCUUUACUUAUGUGGCACUGUAGGUCUUUUGCCCAGUGCUUGGCUGGGUUGGAAUCUGCAAAGUGUUGUGUGGGUCGGAUGAGUUGAUAACACCAGGAUAGUGGCUUAAAUGUUGGUGCCCAUGAACCACUAGUGGUUGUCUGUUCCCAUUUCGUCAUACCGAGGGGGUUUUCGCCUGGGGUGGAGGUCUUCUCUGUGUGUUUAUGCAUGAAUGAGCUUAAUUGUAUGUGAGAGAAUUGGG